GACGAACGCUGGCGGCGUGCUUAACACAUGCAAGUGGAGCGACGAACCUGGCUUCGGCCAGGGGCAGAGCCGCGAACGGGUGAGUAACACGUGGGUCAUCUGCCCAGUUGACAGGGACAACCCGGGGAAACCCGGGCUAAUACCUGAUGUGCCCCUCGGGGGAAAGGAAGCUUCGGCCUCCGCAACUGGAUGAGCCCGCGGCGCAUUAGCUUGUUGGUGGGGUAACGGCCUACCAAGGCGACGAUGCGUAGCUGGUCUGAGAGGACGAUCAGCCACACUGGGACUGAGACACGGCCCAGACUCCUACGGGAGGCAGCAGUGGGGAAUCUUGCGCAAUGCGCGAAAGCGUGACGCAGCAACGCCGCGUGGAGGAAGACGGCCUUCGGGUUGUAAACUCCUUUCAGUUGGGACGAAGCCUUCGCCGUUAAUAGUGGUGUGAGGUGACGGUACCUUCAGAAGAAGCCCCGGCUAACUACGUGCCAGCAGCCGCCGUAACAC
rnacentral:rRNA from 1 species